UACGUAGGCAGCAAGCGUUGUUCGGAAUCACUGGGCGUAAAGCGCACGUAGGCGGCUUUCUAAGUCAGGGGUGAAAUCCUGGAGCUCAACUCCAGAACUGCCCUUGAUACUGGAGAGCUUGAGUUCGGGAGAGGUGAGUGGAACUGCGAGUGUAGAGGUGAAAUUCGUAGAUAUUCGCAAGAACACCAGUGGCGAAGGCGGCUCACUGGCCCGAUACUGACGCUGAGGUGCGAAAGCGUGGGGAGCAAACAGG
rnacentral:rRNA from 1 species